GCUUACGGCCAUACCACCCUGAACACGCCCGAUCUCCUCCGAUCUCGGAAGCCAAGCAGGGUAGGGACCUUGUUAGUACUUGGAUGGGAGACCAGCCUGGGAAUACCAGGUGCUGUAGCUU
rnacentral:rRNA from 1 species